rnacentral:rRNA from 1 species
CAGCAGCCGCGGGAAUACAGAGGGUGCGAGCGUUAAUCGGAUUUACUGGGCGUAAAGCGUGCGUAGGCGGCUAAUUGAGUCGGAUGUGAAAUCCCCGAGCUUAACUUGGGAAUUGCAUUCGAUACUGGUUAGCUAGAGUGUGGGAGAGGAUGGUAGAAUUCCAGGUGUAGCGGUGAAAUGCGUAGGGAUCUGGAGGAAUACCGAUGGCGAAGGCAGCCAUCUGGCCUAACACUGACGCUGAGGUACGAAAGCAUGGGGAGCAAACAGGAUUAGAGACCCGUGUAGUCCCUGUCUCUUAUAC